rnacentral:ncRNA from 2 species
AUUGAAUAUUAUCAUUUAGGUUCUCUGUUUUUAGAGAUUAAAAGGGAAUCAGGUGAAAAUCCUGAACGAUCCGGUCACUGUAAGUGGAAAGCGGCUUUUCAAAUAUACCACUGAAAAUUUUAUUUUUGGGAAGGUGAAAGGCAGUGUUGAACCAUAAGUCAGGAGACCUGCCUAUAUGGAGAUAGCGUU